rnacentral:rRNA from 1 species
GAUGGACCCGCGGUGCAUUAGCUAGUUGGUGAGGUAACGGCUCACCAAGGCAACGAUGCAUAGCCGACCUGAGAGGGUGAUCGGCCACAUUGGGACUGAGACACGGCCCAAACUCCUACGGGAGGCAGCAGUAGGGAAUCUUCGGCAAUGGACGAAAGUCUGACCGAGCAACGCCGCGUGAGUGAAGAAGGUUUUCGGAUCGUAAAACUCUGUUGUUAGAGAAGAACAAGGAUGAGAGUAAAACGUUCAUCCCUUGACGGUAUCUAACCAGAAAGCCACGGCUAACUACGUGCCAGCAGCCGCGGUAAUACGUAGGUGGCAAGCGUUGUCCGGAUUUAUUGGGCGUAAAGCGAGCGCAGGCGGUUUCUUAAGUCUGAUGUGAAAGCCCCCGGCUCAACCGGGGAGGGUCAUUGGAAACUGGGAAACUUGAGUGCAGAAGAGGAGAGUGGAAUUCCAUGUGUAGCGGUGAAAUGCGUAGAUAUAUGGAGGAACACCAGUGGCGAAGGCGGCUCUCUGGUCUGUAACUGACGCUGAGGCUCGAAAGCGUGGGGAGCAAACAGGAUUAGAUACCCUGGUAGUCCACGCC